AUGGUGCUCGUUCGCUACGGCGUCACCUUCCUCAUCGAGACCCCGCCACCACCCAACGCCCCGUCCCAUUACCUUGAGCUGGAUGCCCAUGUUGUCCUGUGGAUCUACGCCACCCUCUCCGACACCAUGUGUGAUCAUGUCGUCGGCGCCACCACCACCUUCGCCCUCUGGCACAAGAUCAAGGACUAUUUCCUCGCCAACCGCGCAGCCCGCUUUAUGAUCCUCAACCGCCAGUACCGCAAUCUCAAACAGGGGGAUCUCUCUGUCUCGGAGUACGCGCGCCGCAUGAAGCAGCUCACCGACGCCCUUGCCGACAUCGACCACGCUGUCAAAGAGGUGGAUCUCACAACGCAGUUCCUGCACGGGCUCGACAAGCGUCUCGAAACAAUUCGGGUCGUUCUUGGUGAUCAGACACUCCCCUUCGACACCGUCCUCUCCCGCGUCAUCCUGGCAGAGGAGUCCCAGGCUCAGCGCGCGGCGGAGGAGAGCGCCUCGGCUUUCGCCAUGACGGGCGGUGGCUCGUCGAGCGGCCCCUCCGACGCCGGUGGACGCGCCCCCAACGACCGUGCUGAUCGGUCUUCCAGCACCAACUACGAGCCCCCCUACGGGGCCCCUCCUGCCUCCGGUCGUGGGCGUGGCGAACGCUCCAGCGAUAGUGGUGAUCGUGGCCGCGGACGCGGCCGUCGGCGUGGCCGUGGCCGUGGUGACAGCGGCGGGCGUGGCCGGCCUUCUCCAGCGCCGUUCUCUCCGUUCACCGGCUACUUCGCCCCCUAUGGCAUGGCGCUCCCGGCACCGCGUUCUGGCUGGAUCCCUCCCAACGCGGCUGGCGUGCUCGGCCCCCGCCCGGGUGCCCACGCUCAGGCGUACCAUGCUUACACGCCCCCGACGCCACCCGCACCGGUCUACUCUUCGCCUCAGCCCUCGUGGGAUCAUCUCGCCAUGCUGAAUGCCGCCUUCAGCAACGGUGGCUACCCCGCUCCCCCGGCGCCCGAGUGGUACCUCGACAGCGGCGCUUCCUCCCACGUCACCGGAACUCAAGGUAACAUUGCCAAGUCUAGUUCUUCCUUAAAGCAUUUACCGUCUAGCAUCCUUGUUGGUAAUGGGCAUCAUAUUCCAGUAACUGCUGCUGGUUCUACCACUCUACCUCCUCACGGUUUUCGACUUACCGACAUUCUUGUUUCUCCCUCUGUUGUCACUAGCUUAAUCUCUGUUCGUAAAUUCACUAAGGAUAACUCUUGUUUUAUUGAAUUUUACCUGUGUGGUUUUCUUGUGAAGGAUCUUCGCACUCGGAGAAUUCUCAUGAUCUCCGUUAGCCAUGGCGACCUCUAUCCUUUGUCGGCAAUAAAUCAGCUCGGGCGUCUACACUCCUCGCCACCACUCCCUUGGACUUGUGGCAUCGUCGCCUCGGCCACCCCAGCGCUCAAACACUUGCUUCCCUCUUCAAAGAUUUUCUUAGUGAAUGUAAUAAGGCACCCCUCUCUCCUUGUAGUGCAUGCCAACUAG
rnacentral:rRNA from 1 species